CUGCAAGCUGUGAAAGAUCUAUUCACCCACAGAGAUUUAGAUUUUUGUGUCACACCUCUGAGCUUUUGAUAAAAGAAAAAGGAUGACCACUGUAUUUUGCAGAGAACUCACUUUUCCAUCAGAGGCAGGUCGUGUUGCAAACACAGAGGGAAAACUUAGGACAAUGAGGGAACUGGAACAGGUACUGACAAAACAAGAUAUCACUUUUCAGAAGAAACUGUUUCAUGUUUAUAUAUGUGAAAAAGUCAGCAGUAAAAC
rnacentral:lncRNA from 1 species